rnacentral:rRNA from 1 species
GACGAACGCUGGCGGCGUGCUUAACACAUGCAAGUCGAACGAAGUGGCGAACGGGUGAGUAACGCGUAAUCAACCUGCCCUUCAGAGGGGGACAACAGUUGGAAACGACUGCUAAUACCGCAUACUGAAGGUGGGGCUUGCGUCUGAUUAGCAAGUUGGAGGGGUAACGGCCCACCAAGGCGAUGAUCAGUAGCCGGUCUGGGAGGAUGAACGGCCACAUUGGGACUGAGAAACGGCCCAGACUCCUACGGGAGGCAGCAGGGGGGAAUCUUCCGCAAUGGAAGAAAGUCUGACGGAGCAACGCCGCGGGAGUGAUGACGGCCUUCGGGUUGUAAAGCUCUGUUAAUCGGGACGCGGUACCGGAAUAGAAAGCCACGGCUAACUACGUGCCAGCAGCCGCGGUAAUUC